AGAGUUUGAUCCUGGCUCAGAUUGAACGCUGGCGGCAUGCCUUACACAUGCAAGUCGAACGGCAGCACGGGAGCAAUCCUGGUGGCGAGUGGCGAACGGGUGAGUAAUAUAUCGGAACGUGCCCAGUAAUGGGGGAUAGCCCGGCGAAAGCCGGAUUAAUACCGCAUACGACCUACGGGUGAAAGCGGGGGAUCGCAAGACCUCGCGUUAUUGGAGCGGCCGAUAUCAGAUUAGCUUGUUGGCGGGGUAAAAGCCCACCAAGGCGACGAUCUGUAGCUGGUCUGAGAGGACGACCAGCCACACUGGGACUGAGACACGGCCCAGACUCCUACGGGAGGCAGCAGUGGGGAAUUUUUGGACAAUGGGCGCAAGCCUGAUCCAGCCAUGCCGCGUGCAGGAUGAAGGCCUUCGGGUUGUAAACUGCUUUUGUACGGAACGAAAAGACUCUGGUUAAUACCUGGGGUCCAUGACGGUACCGUAAGAAUAAGCACCGGCUAACUACGUGCCAGCAGCCGCGGUAAUA
rnacentral:rRNA from 1 species